CAAUAGCGUAUAUUUAAGUUGUUGCAGUUAAAAAGCUCGUAGUUGGAUUUUGGGUCGGGGGCACCGGUCCGCCGUUCCGGUGUGCACUGGUGGCCCCUUCCUUUCUGCCGGGGACGUGCGUCGCACUUAAUUGGGUGGCGUUCGGAGUCGGCGUUGUUACUUUGAAAAAAUUAGAGUGUUCAAAGCAAGCCAUCGCUCUGAAUACAUUAGCAUGGAAUAACACGAUAGGACUCUGGUCUUAUUUUGUUGGUUUCCGAGACUGGAGUAAUGAUUAAGAGGGACAGUCGGGGGCAUCCGUAUUUCAUUGUCAGAGGUGAAAUUCUUGGAUUUAUGAAAGACGAACUUCUGCGAAAGCAUUUGCCAAGGAUGUUUUCAUUAA
rnacentral:rRNA from 1 species